UCAGGGGAUAGCCCGAAGAAAUUCGGAUUAACACCGCAUAAAAACACAGAAUAGCAUUAUUCAAUGUUCAAAUAUUUAUAGGAUUAAGAUGGGCAUGCGUGUCAUUAGCUAGUUGGCGGGGUAACGGCCCACCAAGGCGACGAUGACUAGGGGAUCUGAGAGGAUGACCCCCCACACUGGUACUGAGACACGGACCAGACUCCUACGGGAGGCAGCAGUAAGGAAUAUUGGUCAAUGGAGGCAACUCUGAACCAGCCAUGCCGCGUGCAGGAAGACGGCCCUAUGGGUUGUAAACUGCUUUUAUCUGGGAAUAAACCUUUCUACGUGUAGGAAGCUGAAUGUACCAGAAGAAUAAGGAUCGGCUAACUCCGUGCCAGCAGCCGCGGUAAUACGGAGGAUCCAAGCGUUAUCCGGAUUUAUUGGGUUUAAAGGGUGCGUAGGCGGCCUGUUAAGUCAGAGGUGAAAGACGGUAGCUCAACUAUCGCAGUGCCUUUGAUACUGACGGGCUUGAAUAAACUAGAGGUAGGCGGAAUGAGACAAGUAGCGGUGAAAUGCAUAGAUAUGUCUCAGAACACCGAUUGCGAAGGCAGCUUACUAUGGUUUUAUUGACGCUGAGGCACGAAAGCGUGGGGAUCAAAC
rnacentral:rRNA from 1 species